CAUAAAAAAUUGAUCUCUACCAUUAUAUUGCCUCCUAUCCCUAAGGAUCUCACUUUCUUAUAUCCAGAAUGUUACAGGGAUAUGCUCAAAUACGAUUCUGGGCCAGAUGAUAAUUUAAGAUUUAUAAUGUUGAGCACGGACAAACUACUCGAAGGAUUAUCAAGAUCGGAUAUAUGGAUAUGUGAUGGUACCUUUAAAAUUGUACCUGAAAUAUUCUUCCAACUUUAUACCAUCCACAAAUUGCACCGGGCGCGAAUCCUGUUGGUAUAUAUUGCUUAUUACCAAAUAAGAUAAAAGAGCUGAAACAAUUACUACCAGGGGCGCAUCCGAGGAAAAUAUUGGUGGAUUUCGAACAGGCACCGAUAAUGCGUUUAGAGCUGGGUAUCCACUCGCAGAUAUCCUUGGAUGUUAUUUUCAUCUAAAACAGAGCGUUAAUAGAAAAAUAAACGAUUUGGGAUUAAAAGAGAUGUAUGAGUCGAAUGACGACUUUCGAUUGUAUAGUAGGUGUUUAUCGGCUCUUGCAUAUGUCCCAGAGGAUGAUGUUGGAAACUCAUUUGAUACUUUGGCAGAAAUAUUUGGUGAAUUGAAUGGCUCAUAUGAGCUAAUUUCCUACUUUGAGAAGACCUAUAUCCGAGGACGUAGAAAUCCCAGGCAAUGAAAUAACUUUGCAGCGCCUUUAUAUAAUGUAAGACUAUGGAAUAAACACAAUUCCACGUUAGAAGGUGUCGCCCGAACAACAAAUUGUGUUGAAGGGUGGCACUAUGGAAUUCAAUCCCUAUACCAAUGUUCUCAUCCAACACUAUGGAAAUUUUUAGAUGGGAUACAAAAAGAUAUGCAGAAACAUAAAGCUCUAUAUCUUCAAGUCGUGAUGGGAACAACACCGUACUUAUCAAAGAAAUAUGAAGAUAUAAAAAGACGAAUUCAGAUUUGUGUUUCAAAUUACGGAUUGUCGGAUUCUUUAAUAUUUUUAAAAGCUAUUGCCCAUAUUUCGUGCAAUUAAAUAUAUUAUAAAUAAUUUAUAUUUUUUA